GCGGAGACGAAAGUUUCCGUUCACUCCUCACACCACACUCCGUCCGGACAAUGUUCGGGCGGUU
rnacentral:sRNA from 1 species